GACGAACGCUGGCGGCGUGCCUAAGACAUGCAAGUAGAACGCACAGUUUAUACCGUAGCUUGCUACACCAUAGACUGUGAGUUGCGAACGGGUGAGUAACGCGUAGGUAACCUGCCUGGUAGCGGGGGAUAACUAUUGGAAACGAUAGCUAAUACCGCAUAAUAUUAAUUACUGCAUGAUAAUUAAUUGAAAGGUGCAAUUGCACCACUACCAGAUGGACCUGCGUUGUAUUAGCUAGUAGGUGAGGUAACGGCUCACCUAGGCGACGAUACAUAGCCGACCUGAGAGGGUGAUCGGCCACACUGGGACUGAGACACGGCCCAGACUCCUACGGGAGGCAGCAGUAGGGAAUCUUCGGCAAUAGACGAAAGUCUGACCGAGCAACGCCGCGUGAGUGAAGAAGGUUUUCGGAUCGUAAAGCUCUGUUGUAAGAGAAGAACGGGUGUGAGAGUGGAAAGUUCACACUGUGACGGUAUCUUACCAGAAAGGGACGGCUAACUACGUG
rnacentral:rRNA from 1 species